rnacentral:rRNA from 1 species
AUGAACGUCGCAUUUUACUCCAAAUGCUUCAUUUGGUUAAAACAAAUAAAUGGGGAUUACAGUACGCAUGGGAAUUUCUGGGAUGGAGGUUUGUUCCCCUGUUUGACAAUGGGGCAUGGUUUGAUUGAUUUAAUUAUAGAUGAAGAUACAAGCUACAGGAUGCUUACUAAUAUAAUAGAAAAAGAAAGUAUCCUCCAUUCUCCUCCCAUCUACGUAUUUGCUUUGCUGCUCCUGCUCAGGAAUCAGGAAUCAGGAGACGAACAUCUCUGCUCGGCUACUGAAGCUCCUGAAGAACACAUGGCGGCCGGGCGGAGACGUUGCCUGACCCUCCUCCCCUCGCGUUAA